GCCAUGGCUGGUAUCCCAUGAGAACCAGAGUAGCCAGAUACCUGGUAGUGAUUUGGCUGUACCAUAUGCUGAGGACUCGGAUAAAACCCUUCACUGGACCUUGGGCUGGGGUAACCAGGCCUGCUGGGCUUGGGAGGAGCUUCAUCUGAUCCUCCUGAGUCCCAGGAUACUGUGACUUGUCGCCUGGAUUCCAUUCUCAUUCGUUCCUCUUGCUGCAGCUUCUCCUCCUCCAGUAUUGUACUGAGUUGUGCUUUAAGUUCAGUAAACCUGGGUCGUCUACUAGGGUCGUAUGCCCAGCACUUGGUCAUAAGGCUGUAGAGGGUGGGAGGGCAGUUCGGAGGCAUGGGGAGCCGCUCACCGUUCUCAAUCCGACCAAUAACAUCAUUAUUUUUCACUCCCUGGAAGGGCUUUACCCCAUGCAUCAGGAUCUCCC
rnacentral:lncRNA from 1 species